rnacentral:rRNA from 1 species
GAUGAACGCUGGCGGCGUGCCUAAUACAUGCCAGUCGAGCGAACAGACGAGGAGCUUGCUCCUCUGACGUUAGCGGCGGACGGGUGAGUAACACGUGGAUAACCUACCUAUAAGACUGGGAUAACUUCGGGAAACCGGAGCUAAUACCGGAUAAUAUAUUGAACCGCAUGGUUCAAUAGUGAAAGACGGUUUUGCUGUCACUUAUAGAUGGAUCCGCGCCGCAUUAGCUAGUUGGUAAGGUAACGGCUUACCAAGGCAACGAUGCGUAGCCGACCUGAGAGGUUGAUCGGCCACACUGGAACUGAGACACGGUCCAGACUCCUACGGGAGGCAGCAGUAGGGAAUCUUCCGCAAUGGGCGAAAGCCUGACGGAGCAACGCCGCGUGGGUGAUGAAGGUCUUCGGAUCGUAAAACGCUGUUAUUAGGGAAGAACAAAUGUGUAAGUAACUAUGCACGUCUGGACGGUACCUAAGCAGAAAGCCACGGCUAACUACGU